GCCGACGACCGGCCGCCGGCUGGGAGGUGGUCGGCUGCGCGGAAGCCCCGGAGCAGGCCGGGCGGCCGAACCUCCGAGGACCGUUCGACGGGAGGUGAUUCAGUGCGGGCUGGGCAGCUCCGAAGACAAAGGAACCGCGCUAACGAGGAGGGACGUAAAAUUUUAACUUCGAGUCAGAAAACUGACCCCCGGACCUGCUAAAUCCGAAGGGUGAUUGGAAGAACCUGAGGGAGGAAGCCCUCGCCGGCGGCCUGCUGCCGUUUCGAUUGAGACAAUUCCGAAGGAGACUGCUGGCGAAGGUGCUGGGUUUGUCUCAGAAGUACCUUCCUGAGCCUCAGUUUCCUAAACUUACAAAACUUUGAUCUAGUUCCUUUCUCCAUACCUGGUCGUUUACUGUGGUUUCUGCAGUGCCUUCCCGGAUUGGAGGGCUCCCCAGUGUGGAAACAAACUGAGGGUCUCUAGAAAGUAAGAUUGAAGCCCGGCUUGGCCUGUGGAAACGUCACCGACAGCUUCUUAAGAGAGUGGUCACAUUCAGGUCAUUUAGCCUCAUUUAGAAUGUUACCUGAUCACCUUGGCCAGAGCAAAUGUCCUCGGUCAGUCAGCGUUGCCCAGGGCCGGAUUACCAGGAGCAGCUUGUUUUGCCUGAAAAUGCUUGUUGGUGGCUCAGCUUUAAUACUGUGGAAUUCGUAUGGAUCAUUCCCAGCAGCAAUUUUCUGACUUUUACACUUCCGUCCCCAGGAGAGGAAAAAGAAGUGAUAAUUCCAAGUCUUGUUUCAACUUUUAGUAGCUUUACCACUGUAUGAAUAUAUAUAUAUAUAUAUAUAUAUAUAUAUAUAUAUAUAUAUAUGUAUGUGUGAAUAGUUUUAAGUCAUUAAUAAAC